rnacentral:tRNA from 1 species
GGGUGGGUGGCAGAGUGGUUGAAUGCACCGGUCUUGAAAACCGGCAUGGGGGCAACUCCAUCGGGGGUUCGAAUCCCUCCCCGCCCGCCA